rnacentral:rRNA from 1 species
AUACUGAGGGUGCGAGCGUUAAUCGGAAUUACUGGGCGUAAAGCGCGCGUAGGCGGUAAGUUAAGUUGGAUGUGAAAUCCCUGGGCUCAACCCAGGAACUGCAUUCAAAACUGGCUCACUAGAGUAUGGUAGAGGCAAGUGGAAUUCCAGGUGUAGCGGUGAAAUGCGUAGAUAUCUGGAGGAACAUCAGUGGCGAAGGCGACUUGCUGGGCCAAUACUGACGCUGAGGUGCGAAAGCGUGGGUAGCAAACGGGAUUAGAAAACCUUGUAGUCC